CCUUACGGCAGUACCACGUUGAAAGCACAUCAUCCCGUCCGAUCUGGCAAGUUAAGCAACGUUGGGCCUGGUUAGUACUUGGAUCGGAGACGGCCUGGGAAUGUGGAGGAAUCGGUGGC
rfam:Ancylostoma ceylanicum strain HY135 Acey_s0068_scaf, whole genome shotgun sequence.